GUGGUUUUAGAUGUGAAGAUAAAGGGCGGAGUGAAGAAAGAAAGAGAUAUAUACAACCUACAACUCGAUAAUGGAUCCUAAAAGACACAAGCUAUAGCUUUUAAGAAGAAACUAUUGAUAAAAAUUAUGGAAUUUAGACAAUGACGUUGAUAUUGCAUGGAGGGCGACGGUGAGUUGCAUUAAGAAAAUAGUAGUAGAAAUGCUAGGCAUAUCCUAAGGUAGAUGACCAUGCUCACAGGAGUCUUGGUGGUGAAUUGAGGAGAUUUAAAAAACCAUAAAAAUGAAAAGAGAAUGGUAUAGAAAGUUACUAACAAAAGAUGAUGAGGCCUUUAAGUAGAGGUGG
rnacentral:misc_RNA from 1 species